rnacentral:rRNA from 1 species
AUUGAACGCUGGCGGCAGGCCUAACACAUGCAAGUCGAGCGGAGCGGCGGACGGGCGAGUAAUGCCUAGGCAGCUGCCUGGCCGCGGGGGAUAACGUCCGGAAACGGGCGCUAACACCGCAUACUAUCAGAUGAGCCCAGGUAGGAUUAGCUAGCUGGUGGGGUAAAGGCAUACCAAGGCGACGAUCCGUAACUGGUCUGAGCGGAUGAUCAGUCACACUGUAACUGAGACACGGUCCAGGCUCCUACGGGAGGCAGCAGUGGAGAAUAUUGGACAAUGGGCGAAAGCCUGAUCCAGCCAUGCCGCGUGUGUGAAGAAGGUCUUCGGAUUGUAAAGCACUUUAAGUUGGGAGGCGUUACCAACAGAAUAAGCACCGGCUAACUUCGUGCCAGCAGCCGCGGUAAUAC